AGGUUCCGUUUCCGUUCUCUCUUGUUGCUAUCUGCGCGUGAGUUUGUUUCACCUGAUGCAGAAUCGGCGUCGGUGGUUGCGGGGCUCCGUGCACUGACCUAGGACUGCAGCCCGCGUGGGGCCCUGCGUGGCGCUGAGCGGGGGACCGUGAACGCCGGGGUCUGAGCGCAAUCUCGGCGCGUCCGGCCGCCCCUCAGCCCGUGGGGGCGUGGGCUGCGGAGGACGGUGGUCGUGUAUCUCGGCGACUGACGAGGAGGCUGAGGGACUGCCGGAGUGACGGCGGGCGCGACUGUGAGCCGGGGAGCUCUGGCAGUCUGGAUCUGUGCUUCUCUAUAGAGGAACUCUGAGAACUGAUUCGCUUGCAAGUCUAAAACCAUGGCCCUUGCAGAGUUAGUGUGAGAGAGAAAGGUCUUCCUUCUGUUGGUUCACCCCCCAAAAUGGUUGCUACAGCCAGCGUGCUGUGCCGAUCUGAAGCCAGGAACCAGGUGCUUCUCCUGGUCUCCCAUGCAGGUGCAGG